AACUCCUCUUACGGGAGGCAGCAGUUGGGAAUAUUGCACAAUGGGGGGAACCCUGAUGCAGCGACGCCGCCUGAAGAAGAAGUAUUUCGGUAUGGAAAGCUCUAUCAGCAAGAAGAAAAUGACGUACCUGACUAAGAAGCCCCGGCUAACUACGUGCCAGCAGCCGCGGUAAUACGUAGGGGGCAAGCGUUAUCCGGAUUUA
rnacentral:rRNA from 1 species